rnacentral:rRNA from 1 species
CAGUCGCCGCGGUAAUACAGAGGGUGCAAGCGUUAAUCGGAAUUACUGGGCGUAAAGUGCGCGUAGGUGGUUUGUUAAGUUGGAUGUGAAAUCCCCGGGCUCAACCUGGGAACUGCAUCCAAAACUGGCAAGCUAGAGUAUGGUAGAGGGUGGUGGAAUUUCCUGUGUAGCGGUGAAAUGCGUAGAUAUAGGAAGGAACACCAGUGGCGAAGGCGACCACCUGGACUGAUACUGACACUGAGGUGCGAAAGCGUGGGGAGCAAACAGGAUUAGAUACCCCCGUAGUCCCUGUCUCUUAUAA